AUGAAAAGGGCCGCCGCACCACCAGCAGCAGCCGCCGCGGAGGACUCUUCCUCCAUGUCAUGCAAAGACGUUCCCAAUCUCCUCUCCUCUUUCGUUGACACGUUCGUCGACUUCUCCGUCAGCGGCGGCCUCUUCCUCUUACCGCAAACCCCCAAUCAUCCACUUCCCGCCUCCCCUCAAAAUCACCAGAAUGCCCUCCCUGCCCGCCACAGCUCCGACGAUCCCCUGCCCUCUCGCCCACCGCUGCAAACCUAUUACCCCCCGCAGGACCGUUUGGUCGCAAUCGGCGAUCUCCACGGCGACUUGGAGAAGACCAAGGAAUCGCUCAGGCUUGCUAAAUUGAUCGACCCGGAGUCGGGUAAAUGGGUCGGAGGGUCCACCACCGUGGUCCAGAUUGGCGACGUGAUGGACCGGGGCGGCGACGAGAUUAAAAUCCUCUAUUAUCUCGAGAAAUUGAAACGAGAAGCCGCCAGAUGCGGCGGCACGGUUAUUACGAUGCACGGCAACCACGAGAUCAUGAACGUGGAAGGAGAUUUCAGGUUUGUGACCCGCAAGGGUUUGGAUGAGUUUAGAGUUUGGGCUGAUUGGUAUUCCAUUGGGAACCGAAUGAAGUCUUUCUGUAAAGGCUUAGAAAAGCCGAAGGAUCCCUUUGAUGGGGUGCCCUUAGGGUUUAAGAAUGUGAAGGAAGAGUUUGCUGAUGGGAUUAGGGCAAGAAUUGCAGCAUUGAGGCCAUCCGGUCCAAUUUCGUCGCGGUUCUUGUCCGAUAACGUGGCUGUGUUGGUUGUGGGGGACUCUGUUUUCGUCCACGGCGGGCUUUUGAGCCAGCACGUAUCAUAUGGUUUGGAGAAGAUCAAUGAGGAGGUGAGGGAUUGGAUUCAUGGGUCGAAGGGAAGAAUCGCGCCCGAGUUUUGUCAUGGUGCGAAUGGUGUGGUUUGGCUAAGGAAGUUUUCGCGUGGAUUGGAGGAUCAGUGUGAUUGUUCAGCACUUGAACAUGUUUUAGCUACCAUUCCCGGCGCAAAGAGGAUGAUUAUGGGUCAUACCAUUCAAGAGUUUGGGAUUAAUGGCAUUUGCAACGAGAGAGCAAUUCGGAUUGAUGUAGGGAUGUCCAAGGGGUGUAUUAAUGGCUUGCCCGAAGUUUUGGAGAUCAAAGGGAAUUCGAGUUUGAGGAUCUUGACGUCGAAUCCACUGUACAAGAACAAGGAAAAAUCUACUGUGUAUAAUGAGUGGCCUGCAUUUUUGACGCAAGGACCAAAACAAGUGGAAGUGAAGGCUUAACUGUUUCGUUAUUCAGCUGCCAUUAUACCUCUUAGCCUUCUUUGUUUCAAAACUGUCUCAACCUCAAGCUUGCCUGCAAGCUCCUGCUCACCAGAUGGCUAACAAGGGUACGUGAUCAAACUAAGAAGAGCAAUUCUGGCCUUCCUGAAGGGAGUAGUUUCAAAUGUCCAAGGCCAGCGUUAACUGAUAUGCAUUGUUUGACAUAAAAAGGAAACUGGCCUUCCUGAAGGGAGUAGUACCAAAUGUCCAAGGCCAGCGUUAACUGAUAUGCAUUGUUUGACAUAAAAAGGAAACUGAUAUGCGAUGCAGUAGCUUCGUUUGAUUUUAGAUGAAGUGCAUGGAAGGUACGGUAACUUGUUUACCUUCAUUACUUCCUGAGGCUACACUCUUAAAUUGAUCGGAUUGAUAUAUUCAAUCAUUUGAUAUGUUCAAAUUGUAGAAAAUGUCGACGCCGAAAUAUUUGGUCGAUUCUGAAAAGCAUAGGUGCUGAAUUUCAUAACUUGUAGGGAAGGGCACGAUGUGAUUUAAUGGAGAAUAAGAUGAACAAUGAACUUGAUAGCGAA